rnacentral:rRNA from 1 species
UACGAAGGGGGCGAGCGUUGCUCGGAAUCACUGGGCGUAAAGCGCACGUAGGCGGAUUGCUAAGUCAGGGGUGAAAUCCCGGAGCUCAACUCCAGAACUGCCUUUGAUACUGGCGACCUUGAGUCCGGGAGAGGUGAGUGGAACUGCGAGUGUAGAGGUGAAAUUCGUAGAUAUUCGCAAGAACACCAGUGGCGAAGGCGGCUCACUGGCCCGGUACUGACGCUGAGGUGCGAAAGCGUGGGGAGCAAACAGG